rnacentral:rRNA from 1 species
UACGGAGGGGGCUAGCGUUGUUCGGAAUUACUGGGCGUAAAGCGCGCGUAGGCGGACCUGCAAGUCGGGGGUGAAAGCCCGAGGCUCAACCUCGGGUCUGCAGUCGAUACGGGCGGACUGGAGUUCGGCAGGGGAGACUGGAAUUCCUGGUGUAGCGGUGAAAUGCGCAGAUAUCAGGAGGAACACCGGUGGCGAAGGCGGGUCUCUGGGCAGUAACUGACGCUGAGGAGCGAAAGCGUGGGGAGCGAACAGG